AGAACGAACGCUGGCGGCAGGCUUAACACAUGCAAGUCGAGCGCCCGUAGCAAUACGGGAGCGGCAGACGGGAUAGUAACACGUGGGAACGCGCCCUUCGGUUCGGAAUAACUCAGGGAAACUUGAGCUAAAUACCGGAUACGCCCUUACGGGGAAAGAUUUAUUGCCGAAGGAACGGCCCGCGUCCGAUUAGCUAGUUGGUGAGGUAAUGGCUCACCAAGGCUCCGAUCGGUAGCUGGUCUGAGAGGAUGACCAGCAUCACUGGGACUGAGACACGGCCCAGACUCCUACGGGAGGCAGCAGUGGGGAAUAUUGGACAAUGGGCGCAAGCCUGAUCCAGCCAUGCCGCGUGGAUGAUGAAGGCCUUAGGGUUGUAAAGUCCUUUAACGGGGAAGAUAAUGACGGUACCGUAGAAUAAGCCCCGGCUAACUUCGCGCCAGUAGCCGC
rnacentral:rRNA from 1 species